rnacentral:lncRNA from 1 species
AGCGUGGCUAGGGGCGGAGCGACUGCCGCGCGGUAGUCAGGGAGCUGUGCGGGUCCUGGUUGCAAGAGAGGAAGGAUUAAAGGACUGGAGGGCAUCAUAAACAUGAAGAAAAAUGUGGGAGAAUAUGAUAAUUGAAAGAAGAAGAGUUUGUGGUCAAAGGGAGAGAUUAAAGAUGUGCAACUUCAGAUUUCCUGGACCUGCCUACCAUCCUGAUCACAGACGUAGAAGGACCAGGUCAGUACCAGACUUUGGGGUCAAAUAAUGUAUAUUAUUUCUUGUAGAAACCUUGUGCUGCUGAGACUAAAUGAGGGGAAAAGGUCUGUCACUCUUGCUUUCUAUUGUUGGUCAUCUCCACGUUCAUUGGCUAAGUGAACUCAAUUUGACUCUAAGUAUCUGAUCAUAUAUCUGUUCUAAGCAUUCUAUUUUGGUGUAUACCCUAGGUUUUUGUUUCUAUGCCUGAUUUUUCCAAUUUUAAUAAAAACAGUUACUUGCUGAGGACUAGUUAAUUC